GACUCUCGGCAACGGAUAUCUCGGCUCUCGCAUCGAUGAAGAACGUAGCGAACUGCGAUACUUGGUGUGAAUUGCAGAAUCCCGUGAACCAUCGAGUCUUUGAACGCAAGUUGCGCCCGAAGCCAUUCGGUCGAGGGCACGUGUGCCUGGGUGUCACACAU
rnacentral:rRNA from 1 species